UGCGUCUGUCACGCUGCGUAAUAUUGGAGCAGGGGACAAUCGCGAGAUUGAAUGGUAUAUAGGCUUGGGAAGCUGUCAAGUGUUGGUCCAGUCAAGCUUUGGCCAUCCGUGAAACAUCAAUCCUCGUCCUGAAAUAACAUUAUCCCAAAGUUCGCUGAUUAAACUCGACGGCUCGUAAGAUUUGCCCAGCACCGCAGAGCGACACGGAGUUAUUUAAUUAUAACGUGGAAAUCUAAUAUCCGAAAUGAGAUUGGGUUGGUUAUAUAUCAUCAGUCUAUUGCUAUUGUCAAUAAUGGCAGCAGCGGCGUACAGAACGCCGAUAAACGUGCUGCGGCAGCAAAGGAGAAGAAACGAUGGACGGCUUCCGAUGCGCAAAGGAAGAAUGUGGCACCAGCCAAUGUCCGACUAAACACUUGCAGCUAUGAUAAUCCUCCUCGCACAUGACGUGAAUAUUUCAACGUAAAAUAAUCAACGUUAACGAGAAACUCUAUAUUAUAUGCAUUAUGUAGAGUAGUAGUAUGUAUUAUAUUACACGCAAUGUAAUUCUAAUGUUUUAUGACAACUUAAUGAGAGAGAGUUUUAAAUAAACUCAUUUGAAAUAAA